rnacentral:lncRNA from 1 species
AGUGUUUUUUGGCAGUGGCUGGAUUGCUCUUCCCAGCAGGAGCUGGGUGCUGAGGACGGCCGCCCAGUUGCUUUGGAGUUUGGGCACUCAGGAAGGGCCACCUUUACGGAAAAACAUCCAGCAUGCAAUACUGCCUUUGUCUGCUUCGAGACACUGUAACAGAGCAGCCGAGAGUGGGUGAUGUGCAAACAUUGGAGGUUCAACAGUCAAAUCCAUCAGGAACCAAAAUAAUCUGAGCUUCCAACUUCCCGAUGAGGGUCCUUCUAGAAGCCCUGGGUGGGCAUUUUCACCGUAUCACUUACCGCUUGUCUCCUGGCAUUUAAACUGGCUGGACCAGCAGAGGCAAGCAGGAAGUCUCGCGUUCCGUUGCUUUUCAAAAAUGCAAAAUAACAGUGAAAGGUACCAAACCUUGCUCCGUUGCUGACGGGAUCGCCCACGGGGUCACGGAGGUCACCGGAGGUCAAAGGAAGAGUCUAGAACAAGCUGUUUCUUCCUCUCGAAUUUGUUGCUGAAUGAUCAAGUGAUCGCAUUUAGAUUCCCCCAACUUUCUGAAAGUCUCAGGCGACAAAGAACAACGUUCCCUGCAUUUCGAGCACCUGCUUUAUGUCUCCUCAAUGGAGGGGUGCCGGGGGCGGCAAGGGGACAUGCCUGCCUUAAAGCAGGGGACAGGAAACAGUGGUGAUGCCCAGGAUGCACGCACUCUGUUAUACAAGCUGCUGGGAGGCGAUGAUCCCUUCCAACUAUGAACACGCACACCCGAUAAAACCUCCAUUCAGUGUUUAAAGGGUAAUUUUUAAGGUUCCAUUGGGGGGGGGUGUUAAUAAGUGGGCUGUCCUGGGUAAGAGUCAACAUGCUUAAAGGUAAACAAUAUCUUACAGUAUAAAAAGUAUUUUCACAUGCACAAGCUAAUUAAUGCAGAGCCUUUCUGUGAAGGGGCUUUCUUUCUAUAGAAGCACAUUCAGGUACAGGGAUGGCCAGGACAUCCUGAGCCCAUGUAUCCUGGCUCAAAGCCCUUUCUCUGUGGCCUGGCUUGACCCCGGAAUACAGAAAACCGAGCCCGAGGAUGCCACGAGGAUGCCCUUCUAGGGUAUCAACACAGUGAAGUUACAUGGGGUUAGAGUUGAGUGAGUCGUUAAGAAAACACAACUUGACCCUUUUCAUUGCACCUAUAAGAAAUGAAGAGUUCAAGAAUGAUGCUGCAGAGCUGGGAAUACAGCUCAGGUGGUAAGUACCUGGGUUUGACCCCCCCCCCCACUCCCCAGCACCCACAUAAAGAUAGGUCUUGUACUCUACGUGAGUGUUCCACACUGGGAAAUAAGCAUGGAGGAGGUGGGAACAGGUUGGUUUAGGGGCUCGUUGACUAUUCAGACUAAACUAGCUGGCAAGCUUCAGAUCUUCAGGAGCAACUUUAUCUCAAAGAGUAAGAGGGGGCUGAAGAGACAGUUCAGCUAUUAAGAGCACAUAUCCAACCAUGAGGAUGAAUGUUCAGUUCCCAGCCCAUACAGAACAUGCUAGACAUGCCACGAACUUGUGUCACUACUGCUCCGAGUGGUUCGAUGCCCUAUUUUGGCUUCCAUAUGCAGCAUGCACAGGCGCACACACUUGUGCACACAUCCAUACCUGUAUUCCCUUGAUGUGCUUUAGUCCAAAUUUAGGAGAGGGGUGGUUCUGCAUAGCCCUGGCUAUCCUGGACCAGGCUGGCCGUGAACUCAGAGAUUCACCUGCUUCUGCCUCCCUGUUGGAGACCAUAACGUGAGAAAGCGAGCCUUUCACAAUCUCCCACCCUGACAAGCCAAAUGGCCUUGUGCUAAGGAGCAGGUCGUCACUCCCUCCUCCCUGUUCCCUUCCUGGCACCUGAGACUGUAAAAGCUGAAUUAUAGUCCCCUCUUCCUUAUCUCUUCCUGACUCCCAUGACAUCCAAGGACAUGAAUUAUGUCCUGACACCCAAGGCUGUUAAGGAGGAUUUCAGAUUUCGGAGAUAAGACCCAGAGUGCCCGCCGCCUGGAGCCUGACUUUGGCCCUCAUGUCCCCUGAUGCCCACUUCUUUGUUCUUUGUUAAUUCCCCCUCAACCCCUCCCUAUAUUCCCCUUGCUGUAUGCUUAAAACCUGGCGUUUCAGCCUAAUAAACUGAGACCUUGAUAGGAACCCUCU